UACGGAGGGUGCUAGCGUUGUUCGGAAUUACUGGGCGUAAAGCGCGUGUAGGCGGCCCGCUAAGUCUGAUGUGAAAGCCCGGGGCUUAACUCCGGGUCUGCAUUCGAUACGGGCAGGCUAGAGUUCGGUAGGGGAGAUCGGAAUUCCUGGUGUAGCGGUGAAAUGCGCAGAUAUCAGGAGGAACACCGGUGGCGAAGGCGGAUCUCUGGGCCGAUACUGACGCUGAGGAGCGAAAGCGUGGGGAGCGAACAGG
rnacentral:rRNA from 1 species